rnacentral:rRNA from 1 species
GACGAACGCUGGCGGCGUGCUUAACACAUGCAAGUCGAACGGGCCUUGUCCCCUUUUUUUUUGGGGGUGGGGUUAGUGGCGAACGGGUGAGUAACACGUGAGUAACCUGCCCCUCACUUCUGGAUAACCGCUUGAAAGGGUGGCUAAUACGGGGUGUUCUGGCCUGCUCGCAUGGGUGGGUUUGGAAAGAUUCGACCGGUUUUGGUUGUUUUGGUGGGGGAUGGGCUCGCGGCCUAUCAGCUUGUUGGUGGGGUGAUGGCCUGCCAAGGCUUUGACGGGUAGCCUGCCUGAGAGGGUGAGCGGUCACACUGGGACUGAGACGCGGCCCAGACUCCUACGGGAGGCAGCAGUGGGGAAUAUUGCACAAUGGGCGCAAGCCUGAUGCAGCGACGCCGCGUGAGGGAUGGAGGCCUUCGGGUUGUGAACCUCUUUCGCCAGUGAAGAAGGUCCUGCUCUUUGUGGUGGGGUUGACGGUAGCUGGGUUAAUGAAGCGCCGGCUAACUACGUG